UCGUGCGCUGAUCAUUUUCUUAACACAAAAGUCGUGAGGAAAAAGAAAAGCGUGGCUGUCCUGGUGAAGUAAUGUUAUUUCCCCUGAGACCUUCUGCUGAAAACUGCAAUUUAACACACAGUGGUGAGCAAAAGGUCCCCUGAUUAUUUCAAGCGGAGCCCCUGCAGUACCGCUGCGGUCCCCUAGGGGUCGCUGACCACCGGUUGAAAACCCAUAUCAUAACCCUGAGGCAGUUAGCUACUAGCGUAAAAGGCUUAUGAAAGGAAAAACUUUCUCCCUGCACGUCCGGUCAGAGGAAAGACAGCUGUCAUGCUGCCGUCCUGCUCAGGUGAAAAAUCCGGGUCUGUUUGGAGAAUCUGGUCCCGUCUCAGCCGGGCGUGUCAGUCACGCGUGGCGUGUAGGAGAGCUGUAGAAGACGAACACACGUUCGAUUUUUCAGCAAAAGCGAUCUACCGAGACAGAAAACAACCAGGACUUUAAAAUUACUUGUCAUCUUUAUUGAAUGCAUACGUUUUCGUUUAUCAGAGAGAAAGAGAGAUAAAAAAAAAACACAGCUUCAUGUUUCAGUCUUGCACUCGAGCUGAGAAUAAAUCUCUGGAAAAUCUCACUUCGAUUGCAACCAUUUGUUAUUGUUAUGCAGGGAAGGAAAUCUAUAGACAUUGGAGACGAGACACAUUGGCAUGGAGAAAUUCUGCUAGACUGAUGGGGUUUUUGCUUGUUUUUUUGCUCCAGCUGUCUAA